CUCUAUAUUUUCAGUAUAAUGCUUUGUUUAUAACACCUGGAUCUCUGUUCUCUGAUGGACGUCAUUUAUGUCAGACUGAUGGAGCGCUGAGAAGGGAAAGGUGCCAAGAUGUUAGACGCUGCUGUUUCCUCCGGCAUGUCCGUCAGUACACUGUCAUUUACCUGGAAUCCAGUUAAAGCUUGAGAACUGUCUGUCCAACAAAACGACGGCCUGCGUAAAACAUCACUGCGAGUCCCCUGUCCCUUCCUGUACUCUCAGACAAUAAUCUGUCAUCAGCGUAAUAAAAC